rnacentral:rRNA from 1 species
UGAACGCUGGCGGUAUGCCUAACACAUGCAAGUCGUACGAGAGUUUUUAACUCUAGUGGCGGACGGGUGAGUAACACGUGAGAAUUUGCCUUUAGGAGGGGGAUAACAAUUGGAAACGAAUGCUAAUACCCCAUAUGCUUUUGAGUGAAAUGGAUUUAUAUAUAUCCGCCUAGAGAGAAGCUCGCGGCUGAUUAGCUUGUUGGUAAGGUAAGAGCUUACCAAGGCGACGAUCAGUAUCUGGUUUGAGAGGACGAUCAGACACACUGGAACUGAGACACGGUCCAGACUCCUACGGGAGGCAGCAGUGGGGAAUUUUCCGCAAUGGGCGAAAGCCUGACGGAGCAAUACCGCGUGAGGGAAGACUGCCUAUGGGUUGUAAACCUCUUUUUUCAGGGAGGAAUAAAAUGACGUGUACCUGAAGAAUAAGCAUCGGCUAACUCC